GUCAGUGUAGAUUAGUGGUUUGGGCAUUGGACUAUGAAUCUGGAGAUCAGGGUUCAAUUCCCCUCUUGGCCA